CGAACAUCCAGCUAAGCCUGUCAGCAGCGUUAUUGAUCCAGCUGGUAACGGACCACGUCUAUGCAAUGAGGCCAUCUAUUCCCGAGAAUCGUAUAUGUAUAUGGGCUCGCUGGGCCAAGCGUUCAGGAUAGCCGUUCAAAAGCUGUCAGCCUUCUCCAGGUGCGACUCUUUCUUCUGACAAUUGGGCUUUUUCACGGUCAUAAAUCUCUCUUGUUGUUUUCAGUGGAAGAAUUUCGAAAUGUAUACAACUAGAGAGUAGGAGAAUUAUUGUGAUAAUGUUAAAAAUUUAGAGUCAAAUAUACUUGAAUGUAAAACAAA